rnacentral:rRNA from 1 species
GACAGAGGUGCCGAGCGUUUAGGCGGAAUCACUGGGCUUAAAGCGUGUGUAGGCGGACUCGUAAGUGCUUUGUGAAAUCCCACGGCUCACCCGUGGAACUGCUUGGCAUACUGCGAGCCUUGAGCCACUUAGGGGCAACCGGAACAAACGGUGGAGCGGUGAAAUGCGUAGAUAUCGUUUGGAACGCCAAUGGGUGAAAACAGGUUGCUGGGAGU